GACGAACGCUGGCGGCGUGCCUAAUACAUGCAAGUAGAACGCUGAAGGAGGAGCUUGCUUCUCUGGAUGAGUUGCGAACGGGUGAGUAACGCGUAGGUAACCUGCCUGGUAGCGGGGGAUAACUAUUGGAAACGAUAGCUAAUACCGCAUAACAGUAGAUGUUGCAUGACAUUUGCUUAAAAGGUGCAAUUGCAUCACUACCAGAUGGACCUGCGUUGUAUUAGCUAGUUGGUGGGGUAACGGCUCACCAAGGCGACGAUACAUAGCCGACCUGAGAGGGUGAUCGGCCACACUGGGACUGAGACACGGCCCAGACUCCUACGGGAGGCAGCAGUAGGGAAUCUUCGGCAAUGGACGGAAGUCUGACCGAGCAACGCCGCGUGAGUGAAGAAGGUUUUCGGAUCGUAAAGCUCUGUUGUAAGAGAAGAACGAGUGUGAGAGUGGAAAGUUCACACUGUGACGGUAUCUUACCAGAAAGGGACGGCUAACUACGUGC
rnacentral:rRNA from 1 species